AUGGAGGCUUCCGUCUUGGCAGCUCUUGCGUCAGUAAUCGUUGCUUUCAUCUUGUUGGUAUUGCCACACCUGAGAAAGCAGAGCUCAUCUCAAGACGAUCAGCGCCGCCAGCUGCCUCCGGGAUCCUUCGGCCUUCCCGUCGUCGGCCAGACGGUCGGCCUACUGCGCGCCCUCCGCGCCAACACCGGCGAGGCAUGGCUCCGGCGCUGGGCCUCCGAGUACGGCCCCAUCUCAAAGCUCUCCCUCUUCGGCCUCCCCACGGCCUUCCUCGUCGGCCCCGCCGCCAACAAGUUCCUCUUCGCCAGCACCGCGCUCACCGCCAAGAGCUCCACCUCCUUCAACAGUAUGGUCGGCAGGCGCAACAUCCGGGAGCUGGUCGGCGACGACCACCGCCGCGUAAGGGCCAUGAUGGUCCAGUUCCUCAAGCUGGACAUCGUCAGGAGCUACGUCGCCAGCAUGGACGACGAGGUCCGGCACCACCUCCGCGCCCACUGGGACGGCCGCACGACCGUCGCGGUGAUGCCGUCGAUGAAGUCGCUCACCUUCGGCAUCAUGUGCACCGUCAUCUUUCGGGCUCGGGCGAGCUGA
rnacentral:rRNA from 1 species